rnacentral:tRNA from 1 species
UCCUAGUUAUCUCAUUUGGUAGAGCGCUCAACUGGAAAUGGAGAGGUGCCUGGUUCGAUACCAGUACCAGGCG